CCCCUGCAUCCCCUGAGCAACCCCAGGACUCCCGGGAUACCCUGCCCUGCACCCACCUGGGUCCCUUAGGACUCCCGGGACACCCUGCCCUGCACCCACCUGGGUCCCUUAGGACUCCCGGGACACCCUGCCCUGCACCCACCUGGGUCCCUUAGGACUCCCGGGACACCCUGCCCUGCACCCCUCUGUCACCCAGGACGUUCUGCCCUGCACCCCCCUGGUCCCCUGGGACGCCCUACCCAGCACCCCUCUGGUCCGGUUCCCCCGGGACGCCCUGAGCCCCAAGACUGCACCUGCUUUGUCCCCCGGGGACUCACUGGGAAUGCCCCUUGCACAUCUGUCCCGUCUCCUUGCACACUUCUAGCUCCCCAGGACUUCCUAACACACCCCGCCCCCUGACAAACCAAGUUUGAGCCCGGCCAUCCCUCCAGCCCCUUGCUUUUUGAGAUGAAGCUUCAACGACCUGUCAGAGGAAUGCUACCUUGAGUUAGACACCUGACCAUCGUCUCCCAGAGUUGGACGAGGCUCUCUUCGACACCGAGAUUAGCCGUGCUUUAUCUAAUACCCAUCGAUGAAAAGCUUCUUCGCUCGAAUAACGAUAGAGUAAUAACAACAGCCGAUAUUUGUCAGGGGAAUGCAGACUAGACCCUAUCUGGGAGAACUCAGGAAGGCAGCAAAGUUUUGGGGACUCGCCGAAAAAGACUGUAUGCGGUAACAGCCACUGCCUCACUGACACACAGGCACGAUCCACCCAGCCCCUCUUGGGGUUCAUCUUGCGCCAUCCUGGACUAUCAAGUCUGCACAUGCAUCAUGCUCCUUCCACAGCCUCGGGGACUUUGCACAUGCUGUUACUAUACCUGGAAUCCUCUUCCUGUUUGCCUGGUGAGUGUCUGCCCAUCUUGCAGCUCUUGGUGUAGAUGCUGCUUCUCCAGGAAGCCCUCCCUGAUUCCUCCACCCUGACCUAUGUGCCAGUAUCUCAACAUUCUGCAUUAAAGCACCAGUCUUCCCAGUGAUUA